UACGGAGGGUGCGAGCGUUGUCCGGAAUCAUUGGGCGUAAAGGGCGCGUAGGCGGCACGGCAAGUCGGGAGUGAAAGCCCGGGGCUCAACCCCGGAGGGUCUCUCGAGACUGCCGAGCUAGAGUGCGGAAGAGGCAACCGGAAUUCCCAGUGUAGCGGUGAAAUGCGUAGAUAUUGGGAAGAACACCGGAGGCGAAGGCGGGUUGCUGGGCCGACACUGACGCUGAGGCGCGAAAGCCAGGGGAGCAAACGGGG
rnacentral:rRNA from 1 species